rnacentral:rRNA from 1 species
GUCCACGCUGUAAACGAUUAAUGUUAGAUGUCGGAGGGAAUACCUUUCGGUAUCGCAGCUAACGCGAUAAACAUUCCGCCUGGGGAGUACGGUCGCAAGAUUAAAACUCAAAGGAAUUGACGGGGACCCGCACAAGCGGUGGAGUAUGUGGUUUAAUUCGAAGCAACGCGCAGAACCUUACCAACCCUUGACAUGGGACGUAUGAGCUAUAGAGAUGUAGUUCUUCAUUUAGGUGGCGUCCACACAGGUGCUGCAUGGCUGUCGU